rnacentral:rRNA from 1 species
UACGUAGGGGGCAAGCGUUGUCCGGAUUUAUUGGGCGUAAAGAGCGUGUAGGCGGCCAGUUAGGUCCGUUGUGAAAACUCGAGGCUCAACCUCGAGACGCCGAUGGAAACCAAUUGGCUAGAGUCCGGAAGAGGAGAGUGGAAUUCCUGGUGUAGCGGUGAAAUGCGCAGAUAUCGGGAGGAACACCGGUGGCGAAGGCGGUUCUCUGGGCCUGUACUGACGCUGAGGAGCGAAAGCGUGGGGAGCGAACAGG